GGACCCGCACAAGCGGUGGAUGAUGUGGUUUAAUUCGAUGCAACGCGAAAAACCUUACCCACCUUUGACAUGUACGGAAUUUGCCAGAGAUGGCUUAGUGCUCGAAAGAGAGCCGUAACACAGGUGCUGCAUGGCUGUCGUCAGCUCGUGUCGUGAGAUGUUGGGUUAAGUCCCGCAACGAGCGCAACCCUUGUCAUUAGUUGCUACGAAAGGGCACUCUAAUGAGACUGCCGGUGACAAACCGGAGGAAGGUGGGGAUGACGUCAAGUCCUCAUGGCCCUUAUAGGUGGGGCUACACACGUCAUACAAUGGCUGGUACAGAGGGUUGCCAACCCGCGAGGGGGAGCUAAUCCCAUAAAACCAGUCGUAGUCCGGAUCGCAGUCUGCAACUCGACUGCGUGAAGUCGGAAUCGCUAGUAAUCGCGGAUCAGAAUGUCGCGGUGAAUACGUUCCCGGGUCUU
rnacentral:rRNA from 1 species